CCUUCUUUCUCUCUCUUUUUUCUUCCUUCCUUUUCUUCCCUCUCCCUUCUUCUUCUUUUUCAGUCAGAGGUGAAAGCCUGGAGCUCAACUCCAGAACUGCCUUUGAGACUGCAUCGCUUGAAUCCAGGAGAGGUGAGUGGAAUUCCGAGUGUAGAGGUGAAAUUCGUAGAUAUUCGGAAGAACACCAGUGGCGAAGGCGGCUCACUGGACUGGUAUUGACGCUGAGGUGCGAAAGCGUGGGGAGCAAACAG
rnacentral:rRNA from 1 species